rnacentral:rRNA from 1 species
AUGGCGUCGAUGGCGUCGAUCCCGUCUGACGAGGUCUCCGAGAACGGCCACGGCAACGGAAACGGCCCAUCCCCGCCGCGCGCCAAGCGCCCCCGCGCAGCGUUGAUCUCGGCCGCCCAGAUCCGCGACGAGUUCGCGCAUCACGACCCCGCAGUUGCCCGCGUCAACAACGGCAGCUUCGGCUGCUGCCCGGCCUCCGUGCUCGAAGCGCAGGCGCGCUGGCAGCGCCUCUUCCUCGCUCAGCCCGACGCCUUCUACUUCGACGGCCUUCAGCCGGGGCUCCGCCGCUCCCGCGCAGCCGUCGCGGCCCUUGUCAACGCUGGGGACGUCUCCGAGAUUUCCCUCGUCGACAACGCUACCACCGCUGCUGCAAUCGUGCUGCAGCAUGCCGCCUGGAGCUUUGCCGAGGGGCACUUCGCUCGUGGCGACGCUGUGCUCAUGCUCCAUUACGCCUACGGAGCAGUAAAGAAAUCUAUCCAGGCCUACGUUGCCCGCGCGGGCGCCACUGUCGUCGAGGUACCCCUCCCGUUCCCGGUCACCUCCCCUGACGCCAUUAUUGCGGAGUUCCAUGCUGCGCUCGCUGUUGCCAAGGCCGGUGGUCGUAAGGUCCGGCUUGCUGUCAUUGAUCACAUCACCUCCAUGCCCAGUGUUCUCAUUCCAGUCAAGGAGCUAGUUGCCAUUUGUCGCCAUGAGGGUGUCGACAAAGUUUUUGUUGAUGCUGCACACUCUGUUGGGCAAGUCCCUGUCGAUGUGCGAGACAUUGGGGCGGAUUUCUACACUAGCAACCUCCACAAGUGGUUCUUUUGCCCCCCGGCCGUGGCUUUCUUACACACCCGCAAGGGUGGCCCGAUAACCUCUCAGCUCCACCACCCUGUUGUGUCACAUGAAUAUGGCAACGGGCUACCUAUGGAGAGUGGAUGGAUUGGGACACGGGAUUACAGUGCCCAGAUCGUCGUUCCUGAAGCUAUUCACUUUGUGAACCGAUUUGAAGGUGGGAUUGAGGGGAUACGCAGCCGGAACCAUGAGAAGGUAAUUGAGAUGGGGAGGAUGCUUGCCGAAGCAUGGGGGACAGUUCUUGGAUCACCUCCAGUAAUGUGUGGAAGCAUGGCUAUGGUAGGGAUGCCUAGUUGUCUUUGCAUUGAGAGUGACGAUGAUGCACUGAGAGUGCGGACCAUGUUGAGGAAGGAUUUCAAAGUUGAGGUGCCUAUAUACUACAAUAGCAGACAGGUUAAAGUGCAAGAGAUGGCAAAGGAUAAUAGUAGUGAUCCAGUGACGGGGUAUGUAAGAAUCUCACACCAGGUUUACAAUGUCAAGGAGGAGUAUGAGAGGCUGAGAGAUGCUGUCAAUAAGCUUGUUGCUGAGGGGUUCACCAGUGCCGAAUUGAGGCCAGCUGAGAAGAUAAUAUAUUCCACUGAAGUUUGGACCGUGGCAUCUACCAUUUUUACGGUGCUUGUACUAGCCAAAGAUGCACCGUAA